rnacentral:lncRNA from 1 species
GUUUCACCCCAUUGGCCAAAUGGGUCCAUUUCAUUACUGGGGUUCAUCCUAUUUUGCAUGAGGGUAAGGUCAAAAUUAACCGAAGGAAUCCGAAGGUUCAGAGAUGGUUUAUGCACAAAGAGGCAACCUGUCUCGCAGCUAGUUGGAUCACUCCACAAUUCCAACACCUUGUCCAUAACUUUUAUGCAGGGUACUGACUAAAUCUUCAUUACGG